UGAACAAGUGGAGAAACCAUCUCUAACAAAAGGGGUCUGGGUACAUUAUAAUGAGCUGUCACAAUAUCAUUUUCCCACCGGACUUUACCCCUUUUGUUAGAGCUGGUUUCCCCACUUGUUAA